GACGAACGCUGGCGGCGUGCUUAACACAUGCAAGUCGAACGGAAAGGCCCUGCUUGCAGGGUACUCGCGUGUCGAACGGGUGAGUAACACGUGGGUGAUCUGCCCUGCACUUCGGGAUAAGCCUUGGAAACUGGGUCUAAUAUCGGAUAGGAGCCAUUCUUAGUGUGAUGGUUGGAAAGUUUUUUCGGUGUAGGAUGAGCUCGCGGCCUAUCAGCUUGUUGGUGGGGUAAUGGCCUACCAAGGAGGCCACGGGUAGCCGGCCUGGGAGGGUGGACGGCCACAUUGGGGCUGAGAUACGGGCCAGACUCCUACGGGGGGCAGCAGUGGGGAAUAUUGCACAAUGGGCGGAAGCCUGAUGCAGCGACGCCGCGUGGGGGAUGACGGCCUUCGGGUUGUAAACUCGUUUCGCUAGGGACGAAGCUUUUUGUGACGGUACCUAGAUAAGAAGCACCGGCUAACUACGUG
rnacentral:rRNA from 1 species